rnacentral:rRNA from 1 species
UGGGGAAUAUUGCACAAUGGGCGCAAGCCUGAUGCAGCAACGCCGCGUGAGGGACGACGGCCUUCGGGUUGUAAACCUCUUUUAGUAGGGAAGAAGCGAAAGUGACGGUACCUGCAGAAAAAGCACCGGCUAACUACGUGCCAGCAGCCGCGGUAAUACGUAGGGUGCAAGCGUUGUCCGGAAUUAUUGGGCGUAAAGAGCUCGUAGGCGGUUUGUCGCGUCUGCUGUGAAACCCCGAGGCUCAACCUCGGGCCUGCAGUGGGUACGGGCAAGCUAGAGUGCGGUAGGGGAGAUUGGAAUUCCUGGUGUAGCGGUGGAAUGCGCAGAUAUCAGGAGGAACACCAAUGGCGAAGGCAGAUCUCUGGGCCGUUACUGACGCUGAGGAGCGAAAGCGUGGGGAGCGAACA